CGUCUAUAUACGUAUAGCAUAUCAAUAAGCGGAGGAAAAGAAACUAACUAGGAUUCCCUCAGUAACGGCGAGUGAAGCGGGAAGAGCUCAAAUUUGAAAUCUUAAAGGUUUCCCUUGACGAAUUGUAGUUUAAAGAAGUGUUUUCUGUUGGAGUUUUGGUAAAAGUUCUUUGGAAUAGGACAUCAUAGAGGGUGAGAAUCCCGUAUUUGACCAUUAUUUCCAACUUUGUGAUACACUUUCAAGGAGUCGGAUUGUUUGGGAAUGCAGUCCAAAAUGGGUGGUAAAUUUCAUCUAAAGCUAAAUACUGGCGAGAGACCGAUAGCGAACAAGUACCGUGAGGGAAAGAUGAAAAGAACUUUGAAAAGAGAGUUAAACAGUACGUGAAAUUGUCAAAAGGGAAGCGUUUGACACCAGUGUUGUUUUCUCGAAAAUCAAUUAAAAAUGGCUGGGAUUUUGUGUUGUAUUGACUUUAUCAGCUUUCUGCACUUUUUUCCUAUCUUUUUUAAUGCACUUUUCGUUUAACAAGUCAACAUCAAUUUCUUUUGUUGUAAAAGGGUCAUUAGAAGGUGGCUUUCUUUUCGGAGAAAGUGUUUAUAGCCUUUGACUUCUGCAAUCGGAGAGAUUGAGGUCUGCAGCGUAGAUCCUUCGGGGUUAGAUACAUUUGUGCUAAGUUAUAGCCUUUCAUAGACAACUUGUUGACUAUGAUCAGUCAUGUAGCUUACUCGCUUAUGUUAUUUUACCUACGCUUAGGAUGUUGACGAUCAGCUGAGCGCG
rnacentral:rRNA from 1 species